CGUGAGUAACCUGCCCUUAACUCUGGGAUAGGCCUGGGAAACUGGGUCUAAUACCGGAUAUGACUUCCCAUCGCAUGGUGGGGGGUGGAAAGCUUUUGUGGUUUUGGAUGGACUCGCGGCCUAUCAGCUUGUUGGUGAGGUAAUGGCUCACCAAGGCGACGACGGGUAGCCGGCCUGAGAGGGUGACCGGCCACACUGGGACUGAGACACGGCCCAAACUCCUACGGGAGGCAGCAGUGGGGAAUAUUGCACAAUGGGCGGAAGCCUGAUGCAGCGACGCCGCGUGGGGGAUGACGGCCUUCGGGUUGUAAACCUCUUUCAGUAGGGAAGAAGCGUAAGUGACGGUACCUGCAGAAGAAGCGCCGGCUAACUACGUGCCAGCAGCCGCGGUAAUACGUAGGGCGCAAGCGUUAUCCGGAAUUAUUGGGCGUAAAGAGCUCGUAGGCGGUUUGUCGCGUCUGCCGUGAAAGUCCGGGGCUCAACUCCGGAUCUGCGGUGGGUACGGGCAGACUAGAGUGAUGUAGGGGAGACUGGAAUUCCUGGUGUAGCGGUGAAAUGCGCAGAUAUCAGGAGGAACACCGAUGGCGAAGGCAGGUCUCUGGGCAUUAACUGACGCUGAGGAGCGAAAGCAUGGGGAGCGAACAGGAUUAGAUACCCUGGUAGUCCAUGCCGUAAACGUUGGGCACUAGGUGUGGGGGACAUUCCACGUUUUCCGCGCCGUAGCUAACGCAUUAAGUGCCCCGCCUGGGGAGUACGGCCGCAAGGCUAAAACUCAAAGGAAUUGA
rnacentral:rRNA from 1 species